rnacentral:rRNA from 1 species
AAAAAAGGUAAGCUACUAAGAGCGAAUGGUGGAUGCCUUGACUGGUAAAGGCGAUGAAGGACGUACUAGACUGCGAUAAGCUACGGGGAGCUGUCAAGAAGCUUUGAUCCGUAGAUUUCCGAAUGGGGCAACCCAAUGUAUAGAGAUAUACAUUACCUAUAUAGGAGCGAACGAGGGGAAUUGAAACAUCUUAGUACCCUCAGGAAAAGAAAUCAAUAGAGAUUGCGUCAGUAGCGGCGAGCGAAAGCGCAAGAGGGCAAACCCAGUGCUUGCACUGGGGGUUGUAGGACUGCAAUGUGCAAGAGGUGAGUUUAGCAGAACAUUCUGGAAAGUAUAGCCAUAGAGGGUGAUAGUCCCGUAUGCGAAAAACAAACCUUAGCUAGCAGUAUCCUGAGUAGGGCGGGACACGAGAAAUCCUGUCUGAAGCUGGGUCGACCACGAUCCAACCCUAAAUACUAAUACCAGAUCGAUAGUGCACAAGUACCGUGAGGGAAAGGUGAAAAGAACUGAGGUGAUCAGAGUGAAAUAGAACCUGAAACCAUUUGCUUACAAUCAUUCAGAGCCCUAUGUAGCAAUACAGGGUGAUGGACUGCCUUUUGCAUAAUGAGCCUGCGAGUUGUGGUGUCUGGCAAGGUUAAGCAAACGCGAAGCCGUAGCGAAAGCGAGUCUGAAUAGGGCGCUUAGUCAGAUGCUGCAGACCCGAAACGAAGUGAUCUAUCCAUGAGCAAGUUGAAGCUAGUGUAAGAACUAGUGGAGGACUGAACCCAUAGGCGUUGAAAAGCCCCGGGAUGACUUGUGGAUAGGGGUGAAAGGCCAAUCAAACUUCGUGAUAGCUGGUUCUCUCCGAAAUAUAUUUAGGUAUAGCGUUGUGUCGUAAUAUAAGGGGGUAGAGCACUGAAUGGGCUAGGGCAUACACCAAUGUACCAAACCCUAUCAAACUCCGAAUACCUUAUAUGUAAUCACAGCAGUCAGGCGGCGAGUGAUAAAAUCCGUCGUCAAGAGGGAAACAACCCAGACUACCAGCUAAGGUCCCUAAAUCUUACUUAAGUGGAAAACGAUGUGAAGUUACUUAAACAACCAGGAGGUUGGCUUAGAAGCAGCCAUCCUUUAAAGAAAGCGUAAUAGCUCACUGGUCUAGUGAUUUUGCGCGGAAAAUAUAACGGGGCUAAAGUAAGUACCGAAGCUGUAGACUUGCACACAACUUAGAUUAUUUAAGUUUAGAAUAUGAGAAACUAAGUUAUAUGUUUAGUUAUAUUUUUACUGAUUUUUAUAGAGUAAAGAUAGAAAUAAAACUUAGUAAAAUCAGUAAAAAUAUUCUUAGACUAAAGUUAAGUAGUUUAAGUUGUGUGCAAGUGGUAGGAGAGCGUUCUAUUUGCGUCGAAGGUAUACCGGUAAGGAGUGCUGGAGCGAAUAGAAGUGAGCAUGCAGGCAUGAGUAGCGAUAAUUAAUGUGAGAAUCAUUAACGCCGUAAACCCAAGGUUUCCUACGCGAUGCUCGUCAUCGUAGGGUUAGUCGGGUCCUAAGUCGAGUCCGAAAGGGGUAGACGAUGGCAAAUUGGUUAAUAUUCCAAUACCAACAUUAGUGUGCGAUGGAAGGACGCUUAGGGCUAAGGGGGCUAGCGGAUGGAAGUGCUAGUCUAAGGUCGUAGGAGGUUGUACAGGCAAAUCCGUAUAACAAUACUCCGAGAACUGAAAGGCUUUUUGAAGUCUUCGGAUGGAUAGAAGAACCCCUGAUGCCGUCGAGCCAAGAAAAGUUUCUAAGUUUAGCUAAUGUUGCCCGUACCGUAAACCGACACAGGUGGGUGGGAUGAGUAUUCUAAGGCGCGUGGAAGAACUCUCUUUAAGGAACUCUGCAAAAUAGCACCGUAUCUUCGGUAUAAGGUGUGGUUAGCUUUGUAUUAGGAUUUACUCCGAAAGCAAGGAAACUUACAACAAAGAGUCCCUCCCGACUGUUUACCAAAAACACAGCACUCUGCUAACUCGUAAGAGGAUGUAUAGGGUGUGACGCCUGCCCGGUGCUCGAAGGUUAAUUGAUGGGGUUAGCAUUAGCGAAGCUCUUGAUCGAAGCCCGAGUAAACGGCGGCCGUAACUAUAACGGUCCUAAGGUAGCGAAAUUCCUUGUCGGUUAAAUACCGACCUGCAUGAAUGGCGUAACGAGAUGGGAGCUGUCUCAAAGAGGGAUCCAGUGAAAUUGUAGUGGAGGUGAAAAUUCCUCCUACCCGCGGCAAGACGGAAAGACCCCGUGGACCUUUACUACAGCUUGACACUGCUAUUUGGAUAAGAAUGUGCAGGAUAGGUGGGAGGCUUUGAGUAUAUGACGCCAGUUGUAUAUGAGCCAUUGUUGAGAUACCACUCUUUCUUAUUUGGGUAGCUAACCAGCUUGAGUUAUCCUCAAGUGGGACAAUGUCUGGUGGGUAGUUUGACUGGGGCGGUCGCCUCCCAAAUAAUAACGGAGGCUUACAAAGGUUGGCUCAGAACGGUUGGAAAUCGUUCGUAGAGUAUAAAGGUAUAAGCCAGCUUAACUGCAAGACAUACAAGUCAAGCAGAGACGAAAGUCGGUCUUAGUGAUCCGGUGGUUCUGUGUGGAAGGGCCAUCGCUCAAAGGAUAAAAGGUACCCCGGGGAUAACAGGCUGAUCUCCCCCAAGAGCUCACAUCGACGGGGAGGUUUGGCACCUCGAUGUCGGCUCAUCGCAUCCUGGGGCUGGAGCAGGUCCCAAGGGUAUGGCUGUUCGCCAUUUAAAGCGGUACGCGAGCUGGGUUCAGAACGUCGUGAGACAGUUCGGUCCCUAUCUGCCGUGGGCGUAAGAAGAUUGAAGAGAUUUGACCCUAGUACGAGAGGACCGGGUUGAACAAACCACUGGUGUAGCUGUUGUUCUGCCAAGAGCAUCGCAGCGUAGCUAAGUUUGGAAAGGAUAAACGCUGAAAGCAUCUAAGCGUGAAGCCAACUCUAAGAUGAAUCUUCUCUAAGCUCUCUAGAAGACUACUAGUUUGAUAGGCUGGGUGUGUAAUGGAUGAAAGUCCUUUAGCUGACCAGUACUAAUAGAGCGUUUGGCUUAUCUUUAAUAAAGCAU